UGUCAUUGUCAAGAUUUUAGAGAAAUAUUGGAUAAAUUCAAACUUGCCUUGCUUUAAUAGUAUAAUAAUUUAUAGUUGAAUGUUGAUAUAGACAACAACAAAUAGCAAAGACAUUUGACCAAAAGUAAAUAUUUAAACAGCAAGCAACAACAAGAGCAGUGCUCAAAUUUUAAUUACAAUGGCGAGUUAAAGUAUAUUCGAGCUAAUGGUUGACCACAAAGUGUAACCGAAAAUUGCAAUACCUGUAAGCCGAAAGUGCAGUUUACCCUCAGUUAUAAUGCCGAGCGAAUAAAGAGUCCGACCUGUGACCGCAGCAAUGAAAGGUGGUUAGCCACACACGCAUGCGAGUAGAGACUGAGAGAAGCACUGAGAGAGUUGGAGGAAACCAUCAUCAGCAUUGGUGAUGAUGACCAUAAAACAAGGGCAACAACAUUUUGCGUCAACAAAAGCACUCUCGCAUCCCAAAUUCGAAAAUAACUGCGCAAAAAUUGUAUUUACGCACACACGAGAAAAUUGAAAAUUGAGAGAGAGAGAGUCUGGGCUUUUAUUGAGCAAUGAUAACCAGAGCUGUGAGCAUUCAAUUUGUCUUAAUAUCACGGCAAAUUGCAUGUCGUAAGAUCAAUUGCGGCAACGACCAGAAUUUUAGUGCCGAAAAGCGAAAAGGAAACUAUGAAAAUGAAACUGCAGCCGCUGGCACAGAGAUUCACUAUGGAGACACGGACAAUCAAUUUUAUGGCCAAUGCCAAACGCAGCAGCAACAGCAAAAACGACAAACAGCGCGUUAUGAGCAUCAAAUAAACAUAAAGCCGCGCUCGUUGGCCGAUUUAGGUUUAUGGGACACAGUGGCAUCAGCUUUAUAUAGACACGAUAGUUACGACAAUAGUGCGCCGCUCUUUGUCUUCCACUUUGGUGACAUCUAUUCAACCUCCAACCCCUUUUCUGCACCCUCAUCAUUAUUGGGUUUGUUGUCGUUGUUGUUGUUUCAGUCAGCUACCGUGUUCUCGUCAGCUUUUUGGGGUUGACACGUGGAUGCCAUUUUCAAUUUAUGACACACUAUUUGGACAUGGAUUUGCUUGGGUCACCACCAUGUCAUCAUCAUCAUCGUCAUCAUGGGCAGAGAGAGCAUUUUGCUGGUCAGACAUGCAUUUCGGUAAAUAAAUCAAAUCAAAUCAAAUCAAAUGAAUUCGAUUUGUGUGUGCACAGGAAAUUGUCACUAAAAAUAAGAAACAUAAAUGUAAUUUCCUGCAAGUGCCUGUAAAAGCCUCUUAAUGCAGCACAACAACAACACAAAAAAAAAAACGAACAACAAUAAGAAUAAAAGCGAGUAUCGAAACAAAAACGCUCAAGGUGUUUUAUCAACUUGCGCAUAAAUAUAAAUCAUUUCCGGUCGUUGACCCAGCUGCCCCAUAACUCAAAUGUAUUUCCAAAGACAGUUUUGUGCGAUAUAUUCAACUAAUCUGCCAUGCAAAGUGGUCACAAAAGUCUGACUACAAUUAAAUCAAAUUUAUUAUGUUCAAAAUUAAAUUAUACUUGAAAUUGAUUAUUUCAACUUAAUUAGAA